AGGUCUUGACAUCCUUGAAGAUGUUAGAAAUAACAUUGGCUCUUGGGAGCCAAAGUGACAGGUGGUGCAUGGUGUCGUCAGCUCGUGUCGUGAGAUGUUGGGUUAAGUCCCGCAACGAGCGCAACCCUUAUUGUUAGUUGCCAGCAUUUAGUUGGGCACUCUAGCGAGACUGCCGGUGACAAACCGGAGGAAGGCGGGGACGACGUCAGAUCAUCAUGCCCCUUAUGACCUGGGCUACACACGUGCUACAAUGGCGUAUACAACGAGUCGCAAACUCGCGAGGGUAAGCUAAUCUCUUAAAGUACGUCUCAGUUCGGAUUGUAGUCUGCAACUCGACUACAUGAAGUCGGAAUCGCUAGUAAUCGCGGAUCAGCAUGCCGCGGUGAAUACGUUCCCGGGUCUUGUACACACCGCCCGUCACACCAUGGAAGUUUGUAAUGCCCAAAGCCGGUGGCCUAACCUUUUGGAGGGAGCCGUCUAAGGCAGGACAGAUGACUGGGGUGAAGUCGUAACAAGGUAACCAAGGGCGAAUUCCAG
rnacentral:rRNA from 1 species